rnacentral:rRNA from 1 species
AGUGAACGCUGGCGGCGUGCUUAACACAUGCAAGUCGAACGAGAAUGUGCUAUAGCUUGCUAUAGUUGUCAGCUAAGUGGCGCACGGGUGAGUAAUGUAUAGGUAAUAUGCCUCUUACUAAGGGAUAACAAAUGGAAACGUUUGCUAAUACCUUAUACUCCUUAUUAACAGAAGUUAAUAAGGGAAAGAUUUAUUGGUAAGAGAUUAGCCUGUAUUGUAUCAGUUAGUUGGUGGGGUAAUGGCUUACCAAGACUAUGACACAUAACUGGUUUGAGAGGAUGAUCAGUCACACUGGAACUGAGACACGGUCCAGACUCCUACGGGAGGCAGCAGUGGGGAAUAUUGCACAAUGGACGAAAGUCUGACGCAGCAACGCCGCGUGGAGGAUGACACAUUUCGGUGCGUAAACUCCUUUUAUAUGAGAAGAUAAUGACGGUAUUAUAUGAAUAAGCACCGGCUAACUCCGUGCCAGCCGCCGCAGUAA